GCCCCCAUAGUUCAAUGGAUAGAACAAAAGUUUCCUAAACUUUAGAUGUAAGUUCGAUUCUUACUGGGGGCA
rnacentral:tRNA from 1 species